GUUGCAGUUAAAAGCUCGUAGUUGAUUUUGGCCUUGGUUUGUGAGGUUCGGCCUUCACUGGUCGGUACCUUUACGAACCGGGCUCCACCUUCUGGGUUAGCCAGUUGUUACUUCGGUGCAGCUGGUGAACCAGAACUUUUACUUUGAAAAAAUUGGAGUGUUUAAAGCAGGCUUUCAAGCUUGAACAUAUUAGCAUGGAAUAAUGAAAUAGGACUUUGGCCUUAUUUCGUUGGUUUCUAAAGCCAAGGUAAUGAUGAAUAGGGAUAGUUGGGGACAUUAGUAUUCAAUUGUCAGAGGUGAAAUUCUUGGAUUUAUUGAAGACUAACUUCUGCGAAAGCAUUUGUCAAGGAUGUUUUCAUUAAUCAAGAACGAAAGUUAGGGGAUCGAAGACGAUCAGAUACUGUCGUAGUCUUAACCAUAAACUAUGCCGACUAAGGAUCGGAUGGUGUUAUAUUUAUAUUGACCCAUUCGGCAUUUCAGCGAAAGCCAAGUUUUUGGGUUCCGGGGGGAGUAUGGUCGCAAGGCUGAAACUUAAAGGAAUUGACGGAAGGGCACCACCAGGAGUGGAGCCUGCGGCUUAAUUUGACUCAACACGGGGAAACUCACCAGGUCCAGACACUUUUAGGAUUGACAGAUUGAGAGCUCUUUCUUGAUUAAGUGGGUGGUGGUGCAUGGCCGUUCUUAGUUGGUGGAGUGAUUUGUCUGCUUAAUUGCGAUAACGAACGAGACCUUAACCUUUAAAUAGCCCGGCUAGCUUUGGCUGGUCGUUGGCUUCUUAGAGGGACUAUCGGCUCAAGCCGAUGGAAGUUUGAGGCAUAACAGGUCUGUGAUGCCCUAGAUGUCUGGGCCGCACGCGCGCUACACUGAC
rnacentral:rRNA from 1 species